AAAGUACAACCUCCAGCCGGCGGAGGCACUGGAUUCAUCACAGAAGAAGACGAAGAACAAGAAAAAGAAAAACAAGAAGAAAACGCCAGCCCCUGUAGAAACCCCCCUGGAUGUUAGGCGCACGUUAACAUGCCAGAACACAGAGGCAG